UUAAAUAUGUAUCUAGGAAUGCAUUAAAUGGUGUUAACAUUUUAAGAUGUCUAGCAGGUGUUACAUGGGGUGCAGAUCCCAAAAUACUUUCAUUAUUAUAUAAAUCUAUUAACAGAGCUUUGAGGAUCAUAUCAGGAGCAAUGUGUUCGACUCCCAUAAGGGCCAUGGAAGUCGAAACAAAUAUUAUGCCAUUGAUAUUGAGACGACUUAUGCUUGCAGAAAGAUACUGCCUGAAACUAUUAUCAUCAAAUAAUAUCCAAAUUAUAAAUAGGAUAAUACCUCACCCAAUCAAUAUAGAUGGUCCACUCACUUCACCAAAUGAUCUCCUGAGAGGUACAUCUCCAACUCUGUGCCAGAUCUUCUUAGAAAUACAAUCUCAUUAU